rnacentral:rRNA from 1 species
GUGAGCGGAUGAACUGAGGGUAGCGGAGAAAUUCCAAUCGAACCUGGAGAUAGCUGGUUCUCUCCGAAAUAGCUUUAGGGCUAGCCUCAAGUGAUGAUUAUUGGAGGUAGAGCACUGUUUGGACGAGGGGCCCCUCUCGGGUUACCGAAUUCAGACAAACUCCGAAUGCCAAUUAAUUUAACUUGGGAGUCAGAACAUGGGUGAUAAGGUCCGUGUUCGAAAGGGAAACAGCCCAGACCACCAGCUAAGGUCCCAAAAUAUAUGUUAAGUGGAAAAGGAUGUGGCGUUGCCCAGACAACUAGGAUGUUGGCUUAGAAGCAGCCAUCAUUUAAAGAGUGCGUAAUAGCUCACUAGUCGAGUGACACUGCGCCGAAAAUGUACCGGGGCUAAACAUAUUACCGAAGCUGUGGAUUGUCCUUUGGACAAUGGUAGGAGAGCGUUCUAAGGGCGUUGAAGCAUGAUCGUAAGGACAUGUGGAGCGCUUAGAAGUGAGAAUGCCGGUGUGAGUAGCGAAAGACGGGUGAGAAUCCCGUCCACCGAUUGACUAAGGUUUCCAGAGGAAGGCUCGUCCGCUCUGGGUUAGUCGGGUCCUAAGCUGAGGCCGACAGGCGUAGG